UUUUUUUUUUUUCUCAGCACAUAUAAGAAUUGAUUUUUAUUUCCUAAUUAAUGAUGAUCCCCAUUAGGCCAUUAUGCACCAAGAUCUUCUAAAGAGAUACAUAUCGGACAGAAGAAUAGUCAGAAGUACAAAUGGUCUGGUUUAAAAUAUUUGCUACUCAGAAGGUGAGGCAGAUUUGACUGAAGAAGAUGUUUAUGAAGAUAACGACCUAAGAAGAAGAGGAUGUGGAAGACUUCCAAGAUGUCAAAGACUGAUAAUGCACCUGACCCUCUCACUAAAAAGACUCUGCUACUGAAAUUCUGCUAGAUAGAUAUAUCGACAAUGCCAUCUAGUCGAGUCGCUGGUUCGGUUUU